rnacentral:rRNA from 1 species
AGUCAACCUACCCUGAGGACGGGGAUAACCCCGGGAAACUGGGGGUAAACCUCGAUAGGUCAUAGCUUCUGGAAUGGGCUAUGGCUCAAAUCUACAUGGCCUCAGGAUGAGACUGCGUCCGAUCAGGUUGUUGGUGGGGUAAUGGCCCACCAAGCCUAUAACCGGUACGGGCUCUGAGAGGAGGAGCCCGGAGAUGGGCACUGAGACAAGGGCCCAGGUCCUAUGGGGCGCAGCAGGCGCGAAACCUCCGCAAUGGGCGAAAGCCCGACGGGGUCAGUCCGAGUGGCUCCCGCUAAGGGAGUCUUUUGUCAGCUGUAAAUAGGCUGGUGAAUAAGGGGUGGGCAAGCCUGGUGUCAGCCGCCGCGGUAAUACCAGCACCCCGAGUGGUCGGGAUGAUUAUUGGGCCUAAAGCAUCCGUAGCCGGUGUAGCAAGUCCUCCGUUAAAUCCACUUGCUUAACAGGUGGGCUGCGGAGGAUACUGCUACACUAGGAGGCGGGAGAGGCGAGGGGUAUUCCACGGGUAGGGGUAAAAUCCUCUGAUCCGUGGAGGGCCACCAGUGGCGAAGGCGCCUCGCCAGAACGCGCUCGACGGUGAGGGAUGAAAGCUGGGGGAGCAAACCGGAUUAGAUACCCGGGUAGUCCCAGCCGUAAACGAUGUAGGCUCGGUGAUGGAUUGGCUCCGAGCCAGUCCAGUGCCGCAGGGAAGCCGUUAAGCCUACCGCCUGGGGAGUACGGCCGCAAGGCUGAAACU